GGAAUUUUGGACAAUGGGGGAAACCCUGAUCCAGCCAUCCCGCGUGUGCGAUGAAGGCCUUCGGGUUGUAAAGCACUUUUGGCAGGAAAGAAACGUCAUGGGUUAAUACCCCGUGAAACUGACGGUACCUGCAGAAUAAGCACCGGCUAACUACGUGCCAGCAGCCGCGGUAAUACGUAGGGUGCAAGCGUUAAUCGGAAUUACUGGGCGUAAAGCGUGCGCAGGCGGUUCGGAAAGAAAGAUGUGAAAUCCCAGAGCUCAACUUUGGAACUGCAUUUUUAACUACCGGGCUAGAGUGUGUCAGAGGGAGGUGGAAUUCCGCGUGUAGCAGUGAAAUGCGUAGAUAUGCGGAGGAACACCGAUGGCGAAGGCAGCCUCCUGGGAUAACACUGACGCUCAUGCACGAAAGCGUGGGGAGCAAACAGG
rnacentral:rRNA from 1 species